rnacentral:misc_RNA from 1 species
CAAAAGUAAACCCCAAUAGAUAACAGGUUUUCACCUGAAAAAAGUACCGUGCAAGUACUUGAAAUCAAUACUUUUCUAUUCCCAUUGAGUUGUAAUAUACAAAACCAAUCUACAACAUGAAAAGCGGCCACUGUUCAAUUUUCAGAUUCAGGUGAAAAUAUAGAGAUCUGGGUUUCAGCUCUAGCUAACAGCCACACUAUUAAUCAGCUUCUGAUCCAGCUGGGCCAUGGAAUUUCUUCCACUAUAGACGGGAAAAGAGUACUGUUUACAGCUAAAGGGGGCAACUAUUUAAUAAAACCUAAAAAGUUGUAACAAAUGCCCAGAGAAAUUUUGAUAGAAUUCCUGAGGCCUUUCCAACAAAUAAAUUAUGCUAAGAUAAAAGAAAAAUUAAAAAUUGAUACACGAACAUGACAGUCUAGAGUUUGGUUACAGCUCCCAAAUCUCUGUGAUGACUGUCUCACAGCCCUCUGCAUUUCGCAAAGAGUUGAUAAGAUACGUAUAUACAACCAAUGAAGCAUGUCAAAUACGUGCUGAUCUUCUGAGCCAAAUCCUCGAACCAUGAUCCCUUCCACGCGAAGCAUUAACCCAAAUAGACUUGCUCUUUUGAACAAGCCGAGAAGCCAGACAAAAAAUGUAUUCUAAAAAUUAUGUAGUAUAAAAAUCAGUAGGAGAACUUUACAAAAACACGUACAAACUUCCUAAAAAAUAAAUCAAUAAAUGCAAUUAGUGGUGGAAACUCACCAAUCUCAGCCGUGGCAGUACUAGCUGAUCAUCUUGGCCGCCAAAUACUUGAAACUGAAACACAAGAAAGAUACAUAAGACUGCCCAGUUAUUCAUGAUUUGAUAAUUUUGGCACAACCAUGGAGACAAAAUAAGUAGCCACAUACAAAGUCAUCAAAAAGAACCAACAAAAGAAAAGAAGAAAAAUGAUUCAAUUUUAUUAUGAAAUUUAACACAAUGCGGCAGAAAAUAACCUCUAUUGGACACUGGACUUGCACUCUCAGGUGGUGGCCUAAAAGGCAUGAAGUUCCUGUGAUGCAUCCCCCGGGCAGGAAAUGACCAUCCCUGAUGAGGUAUUCUAUCCGGCUCUCUUGGGGGGCCACAAUAUGAUUCAGGUGGGUAAGAUGCCCUGCCCUUUUCUGAAUGUCGUGGACCAGGAAAAGGGGGUGCAGGGUAUCUCCACCUCUCAUUGAGUUCAUAUGGGGCUGGCCUCAUUCUCUCAUGGUUAUUAUAAAAGUUUCCACCAUCAGCAUUAUGUGACGAGUGGAAUCUGUGGUGGUAAGGAGGUGGGGUGUCUCUCCGAGACUUCACAUGCUGGCCUGCCUGAACAUAAGAGAAUUGAUUUGAAGGUGGUGGGUGUGGCCUUGGAGGAUAAGCCUUGUGGAAGUUUGGCCCAUCUGAGUGCAUUGGAUGUACAGGGUAACUGCUGACAGAGUUCGUGGAUUCACAAUGUUGCAUCUGCAUCUGAUCCCUACAUUCAGUAGCAUGAUAAUGCACUCCAUUGGACAUUGAUGGGUUGAUUCUUGGUGCUGCUGGCUGCUGACCCACAGAUUCUCUCAAGUCAUCUUGCAUAUUAUGUGAAUUUGCAUAAAGAUUUGAAUCAAUGCUAGUAAUGUAUGGAUCAGGAAUUCCACACGAAGGUGGGAUAGCAGGAGGAGGUG